UACGAGGGGGGCGAGCGUUGUUCGGAAUUAUUGGGCGUAAAGGGUGCGUAGGCGGUUUGAUAAGUCUUGUGUGAAAUCUCUGGGCUCAACCCAGAGUCUGCAUAGGAAACUGUCGGGCUUGAGUAUGGGAGAGGUGAGUGGAAUUUCCGGUGUAGCGGUGGAAUGCGUAGAGAUCCGGAAGAACACCGGUGGCGAAGGCGGCCCGCUGGGCAACUGCUGACACUGAUGCGCGACAGCGUGGGGAGCAAACAGG
rnacentral:rRNA from 1 species